rnacentral:rRNA from 1 species
AGGGAAUCUUCCACAAUGGACGCAAGUCUGAUGGAGCAACGCCGCGUGAGUGAAGAAGGUUUUCGGACCGUAAAGCUCUGUUGUUGGUGAAGAAGGAUAGAGGUAGUAACUGGCCUUUAUUUGACGGUAAUCAACCAGAAAGUCACGGCUAACUACGUGCCAGCAGCCGCGGUAAUACGUAGGUGGCAAGCGUUGUCCGGAUUUAUUGGGCGUAAAGCGAGCGCAGGCGGAAGAAUAAGUCUGAUGUGAAAGCCCUCGGCUUAACCGAGGAAUUGCAUCGGAAACUGUUUUCUUGAGUGCAGAAGAGGAGAGUAGAACUCCAUGUGUAGCGGUGGAAUGCGUAGAUAUAUGGAAGAAUACCAGUGGCGAAGGCGGCUCUCUGGUCUGCAACUGACGCUGAGGCUCGAAAGCAUGGGUAGCGAACAGGAUUAGAUA